GGAAGGAUCAUUAUUAAUACUUGGUUAACACCAGUAAUUCAUGUGCAAAACAACCUGACGCUGCCAGUAUUUGCAUUGUGUCUGCCCUUGGGUAGGCAUUAGUCAUACCUGGCAGCAGCCCUCAUUGACUUGUCAUUGUGGGCAAACGGGCUUCCCUCAAACUCUUGGGUAAGAGGAAGCCUGCAACUUUUAUACAUCAGUCUUGAUAAUCCGUCAUCAGGGAGGAGCUGCAAGGCACUACCUGCUCUGACAUUAAAAGGGUAAAAAACUUUUAGCAACGGAUCUCUAGGCUCUCGCAACGAUGAAGAACGCAGCGAACCGCGAAAUGUAAUGUGAAUUGCAGAGUUCGUGAAUCAUCAAAUCUUUGAACGCACAUUGCACUGCUUGGAAUUCCAGGCAGUAUGUCUGUUUGAGUAUCUGUUAACCAUCAAUGGAUUCCCUGGGCUUAUGCAUUCUACCAAGGGUGUACGAGUCCUUGGAAUCUGUUGGAAAUGGGGCUUCUUGUGGUAACACUUAAGCCCUCAAAUAGAUUUCGACUUGUCCUGCGACAAGUCUGUAGGUAUUCCUUCCGGGGUCUACUUGCACCUACAUCUGAUAUUGAAGAACCAUUCCUCGAUACCAUCAAAGAUGUAGGCUUGACCGAGUACGAAAGCCUAGGCUCUAGUCUCAACUCAUGAUCUCAAAUCAGACAAGACUACCCGCUGAACUUAAGCAUAUUAAUAAGCGGAGGAAAAGAAACCAACAGGGAUUCCCUUAGUAAUGGCGAAUGAAGCGGGAAUAGCUCAAAUUUGAAAUCUCUUAUGAGAAUUGUAGUUUGUAGAGGCGACCUCGAUUGGCAGCCUGGGCAGAAGUCCUCUGGAAUGGGGCAUCAUGGAGGGUGAGAAUCCCGUGAUUGGCCCAGGUACUGUCACACUUGAAUCGUCUUCUAAGAGUCGGGUUGUUUGGGAAUGCAGCCCAAAGUCGGUGGUAUAUUCCAUCUAAAGCUAAAUAUUGGCGAGAGACCGAUAGCAAACAAGUACCGUGAGGGAAAGAUGAAAAGAACUUUGAAAAGAGAGUUAAAAGUACGUGAAAUUGCUAAAAGGGAAACGAUUGAAACCAGUGUUGUCGUGGGGAAAUCAGCCGUCUGGGUAACUAGGCGGUGCACUUUCUCUGGGGCAAGUCAACAUCAGUUAUCGGUGGGGUAAAACGAGUUUGGAAUGUAGCUGCUUGCAGUGUUAUAGACUUUCUCUAUGCCCCGUCGGUGACUGAGGACUGCAGCGUGUUUCGGGUUAAUUCACCAGAGCGCUAAGGAUGUUGACGAAAUGGUUUUAAACGACCCGUCUUGAAACACGGACCAAGGAGUCUAACAUGUGUGCGAGUACUAGGGUGUUAAACCCAUGUGCGCAAUGAAAGUAACUUGAUGAGAACCUUUACAGGUGCACCAUCGACUGGACUUGAAGCUCGCUGAUAGUCCCAAGUUAGAGCAUACAUGCUAGGACCCGAAAGAUGAUGAACUAUGCCUGAGUAGGGUGAAGCCAGAGGAAACUCUGGUGGAAGCCCGUAGCCAUUCUGACGUGCAAAUCGAUGGUCAAACUUGGGUAUAGGGGCGAAAGACUAAUCGAAUUAUCUAGUAGCUGGUUCCCUC
rnacentral:misc_RNA from 1 species